AGUGGAACGAGCGGUGAUAAGUGUCGCAGCCAUUAGGCCAAUGAGAGCAAGCAGCAGAACUUUGGACAUCUUCCAAGAGAUGAUUUCUGGUGAUCACAUCAAUCACAAUUUGAGGCUAGACCGCAAACGAGAACAGCAGUGAAAAUUGGACGUUUGUUGAGGCAUCGAAAAAUCAUCGUUACUCACAAUGAUUGUACGGCUACCGAAGGCAAUGAGAAUAAUGGAUGAUUAAUUCACUGGUGAACCAUGCUGACCGGUAAUUGCAAUUAAUGGAAUACACACCGGGUGAAUCACUACAAAAAAAAAAUAUUCGGGAUAAAA